rnacentral:tRNA from 1 species
GCCUUCUUGGCUCAGUGGUAGAGCGUCGCACUCGUACUAGCACACACCAUGCGAAGGUCCACGGUUCAAUCCCGUGAGGAGGCA